CGCGAGAGUCCUCUCUGGACAGGCGGCGGGCGCGGAGUCAUGGAUUCGGCUUCGUGCGGAUUGCUGGCUUCACCCGGCGUGUGACGAGCCGUGGGAUUCAGCUCUGUGGAAAACACAAAGCAAGCCUGGGAGAGUGGUGAACAGAUGAAUGAGGGACAAAAUCAUGUCCGUUUCUCAACCCUGAGAACUGCCCAAGGUGACUACUUCUCGCUCUCCUUCAGUAACCUCAAAUCUGGAGGAAGUAAAUGAUAUGUACUGAAAGCCCCAUGGUUACUUUUGGAAUGGUCCACUAGAUUUGACCAGUGCUGGAGAGUAUGCAGUGAAUGAUUUGCAGUUAUAUCUGCUAAGAUAGACUGAAACGUCCUUGCAAGAAAGGUGGUGUGGGGAGACCUUCAAGAUGGCAGAGGAGUAAGAUGUGGAGAUCACCUUCCUCCCCACAAAUACAUCUACAUGUGGAACAGCUCCUACAGAACACCUACUGAACGCUGGCAGAAGAACUCAGACUUCCCAAAAGGCAAGGAACUCCCCACGUACCUGGGCAGGGCAAAAGAAAAAAGAAAAAACAGAGACAGAAGAAUAGGGACGGGACCUGCACCUCUGGGAGGGAGCUGUGAAGGAGGAAAGGUUUCCACACACUAGGAAGCCCCUUCGCGGACAGAGACUGCGGGUGGUGGAGGGGGAAGCUUCGGAGCCACGGAGGAGAGCACAGCCACAGGGCUGCAGAGGGCAAAGCAGAAAGGUUCCCGCACAGAGGAUCAGUGCCGACCAGCACUUACCAGCCUGAGAGGCUUGUUUGCUCACCCACCGGGGUGGGCGGGGGCUGAGAGCUGAGGCUCGGUCUUCGGAGGUUGGAUCCCAGGGAGAGGACUGGGGUUGGCUGCGUGAACACAGCCUGAAGGGGCUAGUGCACCACAGCUAGCCGGGAGGUAGUCUGGGAAAAGGUCUGGGCCUGCCUAAGAGGCAAGAGACCAUUGUUUUGGGGUGCACGAGGAGAGGGGAUUCAGAGCACCACCUAAAUGAGCUCCAGAGAUGGGCAUGAGCCAUGGCUAUCAGCGCGGACCCCAGAAACGGGCAUGAAAUGCUAAGGCUGCUGCUGCAGCCACCAAGAAGCUUGUGUGCAAACAUAGGUCACUAUCCACACCUCCCUUCCUGGGAGCCUGUGCAGCCCGCCACUGCCAGGGUCCCGUGAUCCAGGGACAACUUCCCUGGGAGAACACACGGCGCACCUCAGGCUAUCGCAACGUCACACCGGCCUCGGCCGCUGCAGGCUUGCCCUGCAUUCCGUACCCCUCCCUCCCCCUGCCUCAGUGAGCCAGAGCCCCCGAAUCAGCUGCUACUUUAACUCUGUCCUGUCUGAGAGAAGAACAGACACCCUCAGGCGACCUACACGCAGAGGCAGGGCCAAAUCCAAAGCUAAAGCCCAGGAGCUGUGCGAACAAAGAAGAGAAAGGGAAAUUUUUCCCAGCAGCCUCAGGAGCAGCAGAUUAAAUCUCCAAAAUCAACGUGAUGUGCCCUGCAGCUGUGGAAUACCUGAAUAGACAAUGAAUCAUCCCAAAACUGGGCAGUGGACUUGGGAGCAACUGUAGACUUGGGGUUUGCUUGCUGCAUCAAAAAUUUGUUUCUGGUUUUAUGUUUAUCUUAGUUUAGUAUUUAGAGUUUAUUAUGAUUGGUAGAUUUGUCUAUUGAUUUGGUUGCUCUCUUCCUUUUUUUAAAAUAUAUAGACAUAAAUAUAUUUUUUCCUUUUUCUCUUUAUGUGAGUGCAUAUGUGCAUGCUUCAUUGUGUGACUUUCUCUGUAUAGCUUUGCUUUAACCAUUUGUCCUAGGGUUCUGUCUGUCCGUUUUUUUGGUCUUUUUUUUUUUUUUAGUAUAGUUUUUACUGCUUGUUAUCAUCGUUGGAUUUGUUUUUUGGUAUGGUUGCUCUCUUCUUUCUUUCUUUCUUUUUUUAUUACUAUUUAAUUUUUUUAAUUUUUAAUAAUUUUUAAAAUUUUUUAUUUUAAUAACUUUAUUGUGUUUUAUUUUCUAUUUUCUUUCUUUCUUUUUUUCUCCCUUUUCUUCUGAGCCAUGUGGCUGACAGGGUCUUGGGGCUCCAGCCAGGUGUCAGGCCUGUGCCUCUGAGGUGGGAGAGCUGA